CAACGGAUCUCUUGGUUCUGGCAUCGAUGAAGAACGCAGCGAAAUGCGAUAAGUAAUGUGAAUUGCAGAAUUCAGUGAAUCAUCGAAUCUUUGAACGCACAUUGCGCCCGCCAGUAUUCUGGCGGGCAUGCCUGUUCGAGCGUCAUUUCAACCCUCAAGCCCAGCUUGGUGUUGGGGAUCGGCACAGGCGCCCUCGGGCGCCAGCCGUCCCCUAAAUCUAGUGGCGGUCCCGCUGCAGCCUCCUCUGCGUAGUAGUUUUCUCCUCGCAAGGGCAGCUCGGUGGCGACCUCGCCGUAAAACCCCCAACUUCUGAAAGUUUGACCUCGAAUCAGGUAGGAAUACCCGCUGAACUUAA
rnacentral:sRNA from 1 species